GACGAACGCUGGCGGCGCGCCUAACACAUGCAAGUCGAACGAGCGAGAGAGAGCUUGCUUUCUCGAGCGAGUGGCGAACGGGUGAGUAACGCGUGAGGAACCUGCCUCAAAGAGGGGGACAACAGUUGGAAACGACUGCUAAUACCGCAUAAGCCCACGGCUCGGCAUCGAGCAGGGGGAAAAGGAGCAAUCCGCUUUGAGAUGGCCUCGCGUCCGAUUAGCUAGUUGGUGAGGUAACGGCCCACCAAGGCGACGAUCGGUAGCCGGACUGAGAGGUUGAACGGCCACAUUGGGACUGAGACACGGCCCAGACUCCUACGGGAGGCAGCAGUGGGGAAUAUUGCACAAUGGGGGAAACCCUGAUGCAGCGACGCCGCGUGGAGGAAGAAGGUCUUCGGAUUGUAAACUCCUGUUGUUGGGGAAGAUAAUGACGGUACCCAACAAGGAAGUGACGGCUAACUACGU
rnacentral:rRNA from 1 species